rnacentral:rRNA from 1 species
GACGAACGCUGGCGGCGCGCUUAAUACAUGCAAGUCGAACGGUGAACGGGGCUUCGGCCCCCGGAUCAGUGGCGAACGGGUGCGUAACACGUGGGCAACCUGCCCCUCACUCUGGGAUAACCCCGGGAAACCGGAGCUAAUACCGGAUACUCCGAAAGGACCACAUGGUCCGAUCGGGAAAGGUCCGCCGGUGAGGGAUGGGCCCGCGGCCUAUCAGCUUGUUGGUGAGGUAACGGCUCACCAAGGCGACGACGGGUAGCUGGUCUGAGAGGACGACCAGCCACACUGGGACUGAGAUACGGCCCAGACUCCUACGGGAGGCAGCAGUGGGGAAUCUUGCGCAAUGGGCGAAAGCCUGACGCAGCGACGCCGCGUGGGGGACGAAGGCCCUCGGGUUGUAAACCCCUUUCGGCAGGGACGAAGCGGUUCCGUGACGGUACCUGCAGAAGAAGCCUCGGCUAACUACGUGCCAGCCGCCGCAGUAAUAC